rnacentral:rRNA from 1 species
AUGAACGCUGGCGGCGUGCCUAAUACAUGCAAGUCGAGCGAACAGACGAGGAGCUUGCUCCUCUGACGUUAGCGGCGGACGGGUGAGUAACACGUGGAUAACCUACCUAUAAGACUGGGAUAACUUCGGGAAACCGGAGCUAAUACCGGAUAAUAUAUUGAACCGCAUGGUUCAAUAGUGAAAGACGGUUUUGCUGUCACUUAUAGAUGGAUCCGCGCCGCAUUAGCUAGUUGGUAAGGUAACGGCUUACCAAGGCGACGAUGCGUAGCCGACCUGAGAGGGUGAUCGGCCACACUGGAACUGAGACACGGUCCAGACUCCUACGGGAGGCAGCAGUAAGGAAUCUUCCGCAAUGGGCGAAAGCCUGACGGAGCAACGCCGCGUGAGUGAUGAAGGUCUUCGGAUCGUAAAACUCUGUUAUUAGGGAAGAACAAAUGUGUAAGUAACUAUGCACGUCUUGACGGUACCUAAUCAGAAAGCCACGGCUAACUACGUG